AUAAUUAAGAGUUGGCCAUAUUGGAUUGUCGCCAGACCACUUGUUGUAUCGUCAGUGACAGCGCGUUACUUGUACGAAAUAAACCGUGAGGCGGGGCACCAAGUAUUGUUCUAUAUCUUCACCAUGAACGGGUAAGUCAAUCCUCAAAUUAGUGUGACAGAAGGCGAAAUCUGUUGCUGUGGUGCUUUUGUGUGGGCCACUGAGGUAUGUGUGAAGAAUAUAUAUAUGCAGCUUUCUUCUGCUGUGGCGUAUCGUAUAAUGCCAUUAAUAAUGAAAUUAUCCUUUCAUAUAUAACGAUGAGCUUGAAAGGUUAAUAUGGAUGUUUAGGUGCAUGUAUUUGCUGUUUUAAUAAGUGAAGUGCACAUAUUGCUUUCUUUAGUAAUUUUACUGUUAAUAGUGUUUGUAAUAUAGUGUAUGGUAUGAAUGAGAGGGCUGUACAUGAAGUUCAUGAACUCUAUUUCAUUACAGUAAAUUGGAGCUAUAUAUAUCAAACAUUUGUCUAUCUGCUAUUAGCCGCUAUAAGGAAUUUAUUAUUUGGGAAUAGUGUUUAGGAGCUACAGGGUUUUUAUGGGAAAAUUUUGAAUGGGAUUUUUUUCCCAUAUAGUGUCACAAAAUAGAGAUGGAGUUAUUUAUCAUUCUAAAUCUUUUAAGUGAAAUAAAUUAACUUCAUGUACUGGUCUCAGCAAUUGGUGUAGAGAGCAUGUUGUGUGCACAUGCUUUGCAAAUUCCAAAUGCAUGUUGUUUCUCUUCUGUGUACAUUACAUAGCUUCUAAGAAUGUGAUUCUAUUGUGUAAGUGAUCCAAAGAAUCGGAAUUCCGGAAAUAGGGGAAAUUGUAUUGAACCUUCCAUGUCUAUUUCAAAGAAUAAUGUUUGAUAAUGGCUUAUUGUUUGAAUAAAUACAUGAUUACAUUUACAGUUUUCUGAAUAUUAUGGCGCUUAAAGUUUGUUAAAGACAGUUUUCAUGAUUUAUUCUCCAGUGCAAACUAUUGAGCAGAUGUAAGGUCUUCUCACUGUCUGCUUACGUGCACAAAUCAAAAACUUGACAUUGUCAUUGGUUUGCCAUGUGGUACAGGUGUUGGAUUAUUUGCUCCUGUUAGAUGUCCAUAAAGCUAUAGUUUAUUGGUUGUUCUAAUAUUCCCAUCACUUGGAAGAAAUGGUAAUUAAAUCAGCUCUAUACUGCCAAGGCAGCUGUAAAUGGGCAUACAAAACACUCAAACAAAUAAUCAGUGUGAUGUGGCAUUGAAAUUGUUAUUAAAUCUGUUGUCACCAUCCUGUUAUACUUUCCAUUGUUUACAGUAACAAAAUUUGGUUUCUGUUAAUCAUUAUCAUGCGUAGGAUCUUCCAUUGCUUAACCUGGUAUCAUUUCUGUUAGUUUUGUACAAUUAUUGGGGGUCCGUUUCUUUGUCUUUAAAAACUUCAUGCUUUUAUAUGAUUUGAUAGUAGAGUAAUUUGUUUGUGGAGAUGCAAAUAUUGGUGUAGGGGGGGAAUCUAUUGCAGUUUGUUCAUUACAAACAUGAACAACUUCCAGGGAUUUAUUUGUAGUGGGAUAUGCAAUCAUUAGUGCAUCUAAGCUGUAACAAAAUAAUUUAUUGCUAUAGCUGUUUGCAUUUGAUUUUUGUUGAUGUCAUCUGCUUAAUAUUUUUCCAGAAAGCAGGUAUCUGUGUGGUAGUUCUCAUCAUUUCUAAAGACCAAAUUUUUCCGAGGGGAGUAUUUAUUCAUGACCUCAUCUAAAAGAUGUUAAUUUAGAGUGUAUGGUGAUGAUGACUCAGUUGUGUGAAAAGAUCAAUGGCCUACAGGUUAGAUCUGUUUACUAUAGCAGAUUACUGAAGUGCAUUCACUGCAAAGCACAACUUCCACUGUUUCUACACUCUGUUGAUGUAGGUCAUGUGUGCACAUAGUUAAUUUUAGUGAGUGACAUACUAGUAUGAAAGUUAAUAAAAAUCUUUUCAUGAUGGAAACUUUCUAAUGAGUUACGUUUUAUGUUGGUAACAUUUGAGCUAGAUGCUAUUUACUUGUCAGUAGUAAUCUCAAUGACUAGAAUUGUGUUCAUUGGAUUGGUGGAUAUCAUUUUUUGUAUUUCUGAUGUUUCUUUUACUGCAGUUGGUUUUUUUGGUAGAUAUUUGCUCUUUCAAUCUCUAAGAAUAAUUCUUAUUAUUUGCCUAUGUUAUAACUCGUGUUAUGCAUACCUUACUAAUUAUCUCACUUCACAUAGAUAUUUAUAGCUUGAUAAUAAAUGUGAUAUUGUUAAUGUGAGUACAUGGAAACUACCUUCUGCCUGUGUAAGUUUUUAUACUGUUAUGCUUGAAGUUUCAUGCUCACGUUUCAGUUCUGUUACUGUCUUGCUUUGAUCCUUGAAGCUGAUGUGGCCUUUCUUCUGUCCUGUUGUCUUUGCUGUAUUUAUUUUAAUUACUGCUAAUGUAAUCAGUCAGUGGUUCAUUUUGUAGUCAAGUGUUAUGCAGGCUUGAAACUUACAGCUGAACCAACACAGUAUAUGCAUCUUUAAUUUUUUAUUUUGAUGUGAUAGGAUGGGAAGGAAAUCUCAGGUGUUACUUAGUGGAUCAGCUGAUUUUGUAUCCUGCACUGGUGUGUGUGUCCAUUUCAUUUAAUAGUAGGUAGCUGUGCAGUUUGUUUGUUGCAUUGUCUUUCCAUGUACAUUACUAUUUACAUGUGACUUAUUCUUCCUCUUCUUUUUCUUCUUCUUCUUCGGAGUCUUCUGUUUAACUUUUCUUUUUCUGACUUAACAGCCGUCUCUUUCACUCUUUAUUCAUUGGUCUUCUUAUACUGUCCUUUCAUGUUUUAGAUAAGUCAUGUUAACAUGGUUAUAAUUCUUCUAUAAUAUUAUGUAAAAGAGAGAAUCUUUAGUGAUCAGUGUUUUUCUCUGAACUUUCCAUUUGCAAGAUUCCAAUAGGUCCAUUGCUCAAGUGGAAAAGAGUGGAAAAGCUGUUGAAUGGUGACACCAAAUAGAAUGGUAUGGUGCAGCCCAUGCCGCUAAUCGUGAAAACGAGAAUCAUCAUUGCUCAGCCUGUCAAGACGUCUACUUUGCUAAAGAAAGAACAAGAUAUGUUUUACAUGUCACUGACAAGAGAUCUUAACACUUAUUUAUUAGUUUUAGUGAGAAAUAUGAGGUGUGAUCAUAACAUAUCAUGGUUCAUGAUAAAUUUUGAUACUUGAAGUUGUUCCAGGUAGUGGCAUUGUGCUAAUAACUAAUGUACUGAGGUAGUAGCUGCUUCAAUGUUGCUGACUGAUGAAGCAGUCUCAUUUUAGAAAACUUCAUUGUGUAAUUGUUACAUGUUGUUUGUGAGGAUGGUUGUUGUAGAUCUUUUGGGAAUUGCUGAGAAAAUGUUGGGUUAAUGAACUUGUGCUGAUAUUAUUUGGACACGAAUGACGACCAUCUUUUGAGAGUCUUAAUGCUUUUAGUAUCAAUCAUUUCAAAUCAAGGCACAGGUGAUAAAACAAAUUGAUGGGUAGAUUCUUGAAGAUAAACUAACAGAACAUAAAUAAUGCUGUUGAAAUAGAAAAUCACUUUGUGCAGUUGUUCAGAAUUGGUUUUUUGCACUUUGUUUAAAGGUCUGGCAACAGUUACUGCUAUUAUCUGUAGACAAGUUGUGCAACUUGAUUUCAGCUGUUGUAUUUGGCAACAUUACACACAGCCAACAUUUUGUCACUUAUGUUUUGAAGAGUUAUUUUUGGUUAAUGCACAGUCCUACUUGGAGAUUGCCAUGAAAAUAGCACAAGACCUGGCUGAUUGUGAAUGGCCUGUCUUCCUGGUAGCAUACCCAUGAGCCUUAUGAAAGGUAGCAUUAAAGUAUGCCACAAGAUUUUGUAGAAUUUUCACUUGUCCUGUGCAAGAUGACUUUGAAUGUAGAUGAUCAUAUUUGCAUUGAUAAAUGUUAUGACUUGUUCUGAAACUCAAAAGAUUCAUAAAUUAAAAGGGAAUGUGCCAACACAGCUGUUGACUGUGCCUGUGAGCAACAUGAGAACCCUCUGUUAAUACUGCAGGAACUUCUAAGUACUUCUUUAUAAGCUUUUUUUUGCAGGGGAAUAUUUCUUUAAAUUAUGCAGCCUUGAUACUGUUUGGUCACACCUUGUUGGACAGAUCUUUAUGUAAAUGUACGCUGGAAACAAAUUUCCUCUAUAAAAAUAACAUGUAUAAAAAUCUGUAUGAAUGUUGCACUGUUCUUGAAAUUUUUUUUUUAAUUUGGGACAGUAGGAUAAAGGUUUGCAAGUAUUUUGAUAGUAUGAAGUUCUUAGGUUGUAUAAGCAUGCAAAUUUAAUGGAAAACUAGCUACCAGAAAUGUUUCUCAGUUAACAUUCUAAAUAAAAAUUGGAAUAGUGAAAUGAACGUGCAUUUGAGUCGAUGGUCUUGUAAAAUCUUGGCAAAAUAAAUUUGAUAAAGGAAGUGAUAAGAAUAUCAUGUAAGCCAAUGGCAUAAAAACAGUAAUUUGCGUGACUUCCCUUACCAGGUGUUUGUCAUCCUGGUUCCGUAUAACAUAGUACCGAGCUUUGAACUGUUAGUGUUGGUAGCAGUUGUAUGCAUGUUAUUGAAGUCAAAUUCCUAAUAUACAUUAAGCAUGUUAAAUACAUUCACUGCCACAUGCUGUAUUACAAAGUAUAAGGAAUACCUACCUAAUAAAUGAGCUUGUAGUGCUUUAUUUUUUAGCAUUUUGAUACUUUACUUUUGCAGUUAUUUUUAAUACAUGUAUUUAUGCUGUUUCAUUGCUGAUUUGGUGCUAUCAGUGAACAAUAUUUAGCUGUUUUUUGCUUACAAGAUAAUGUGUUACAAGCAGAACUCAAAUAAUUGUAUAGUGUUUUACUGUACAAUAUUUACACAAUAAAUAUAUUAAUUUUUAUGUAUUAAUAUUGUAACAUCAUUGCUUUUAUAAGUUCAGUAUUGGUUACUAGCUUAUAACAUGAUAAUAAAUAUUUUUGAGUCUUCA